rnacentral:tRNA from 1 species
UAAGAUGAUACCUGAGACUUCUAAUCUCUUAAAAGCAUAUGCUACGUCUUAU